rnacentral:tRNA from 1 species
AAGAGCUUAGGAUAAAAUAGACCAAGGACCUUCAAAGCCCUAAGUAGAAGUUAAAACCUUCUAGCCCCUG